GUCCUUCCGUGCAUUCCUCCUCAGUCGUCGGCACAAGGGCGAGUUGCCUUGGCCGUGGCUGUCGGUUUCCUGUGUUGCAUACCUACGUAGACGGAAUUGUGUGCCAAUUCUUCCCACGUUCGCCUAGCGCUGCCCGUUCACACGGCGCGGCUACGGGCGAACCCCAAAGCGAGACCCGUGUUCCGCGACGCCCGCGCACCGCGCUUUCUCCGACCCUCGGGUUCCCGCUCGACCCCCGGGAUGCAAAAACGCUACGGGCACGGGGUCCCCGACCCCUUUUUGCCCACAAAAUUGGCGUCACACGCCACGUUCGAACGACGUUCGGCACCGCACAGACGCGACGCGCCUUGCGAACCCAUGCCGGUGAAGCCUGCAACCUGGUUGAUCCUGCA
rnacentral:misc_RNA from 1 species